AGAACGAACGCUGGCGGCAUGCCUAACACAUGCAAGUCGAACGAGACCUUCGGGUCUAGUGGCGCACGGGUGCGUAACGCGUGGGAACCUGCCUUUAGGUUCGGAAUAACUCAGAGAAAUUUGAGCUAAUACCGGAUAAUGUCUUCGGACCAAAGAUUUAUCGCCUUUAGAUGGGCCCGCGUAGGAUUAGCUUGUUGGUGGGGUAAUGGCCUACCAAGGCGACGAUCCUUAGCUGGUCUGAGAGGAUGAUCAGCCACACUGGGACUGAGACACGGCCCAGACUCCUACGGGAGGCAGCAGUGGGGAAUAUUGGACAAUGGGCGAAAGCCUGAUCCAGCAAUGCCGCGUGAGUGAUGAAGGCCUUAGGGUGUAAAGCUCUUUACCCGGGAUGAUAAUGACAGUACCGGAGAAUAAGCUCGCUAACUCGCGCCAGCGAGCC
rnacentral:rRNA from 1 species